UAUCCAUAGUUUAUCAACAAAGCGAGAAUUUGGAGGUGAGAGGUCCCCCAAACCAGUGGUCACGUGAUCAGGACCUUUUAGCAGUGGUUCUCCAACUGCAGAAUGUAGAAGGACCACUAGGAAUUUAGUUGAUUCCUGCUCCUUGCCUUCCUCCCUUGGACAUUCUGAUUCUAGGUCUCUGGGUGGGACUCUGGAACCGGCAUGAGUAACAGUCUCCAGGGGAUUCUGAUGCAAGUGAUCUUGCUACUCUAAGCAACAACUCUCCACUGAAAGCUGACUCAAGCAUCUGUAAUACCUUCCAGGGUUUUCCUGAAUACAAAUAUAUAGAAGAUUCAUACAUUGGGUCCUCACUGAGAUGCCUUUGGGAACUCUUAGACAACUCAAGUUCCCUCUCUCAGAAAAGUCUGAAGGCAGCCCAGAAUUCCUGACAGCCACACACAAGGACCGAACACACGCCAUGUGCCAGGAGCAGGGAUUGCAGAGCCAACAAGACUCCACGCAGGCCGCCAGGCUUGCCCAGGCUCCUGUCUCUGAAGAAGACAGUUAUUCCUAAGCACCAACAGCCACAGGGGAUCGUUGGCUGAGGGUCUACAGGAGACUUACAGUUUACUCCUCGACGAAAGGACUUGUGGGAGCGUGGUCAGCAGCGACACCCCUGCAGAAAGGCCGGUCCUCCCCCAGCCCAGCCGGUCUAGCCACCCUGACAGCCACGCUCACUCCUCCGAACCUCCCAGGCAGCAGCUUGGCCGACCCUGAGGCUCUGUGAGGCCUGUGUUGCCAGCUUGCCUUCUUCCUCUGCCCUGUCCUGCUUCCUCCCCCUUCCUCUCCCAGGACUCCAUCCCUAAUAAACAUCUUGCACCUCUAACUCCAUCUCAGAGUCUGCUUUUGGAGAAGCCUG
rnacentral:lncRNA from 1 species